CGCGUAGGCGGACAGUUUAGUCAGAGGUGAAAGCCCAGGGCUCAACCUUGGAAUAGCCUUUGAUACUGGCUGUCUUGAGUUCGGGAGAGGUGAGUGGAAUGCCGAGUGUAGAGGUGAAAUUCGUAGAUAUUCGGCGGAACACCAGUGGCGAAGGCGACUCACUGGCCCGAUACUGACGCUGAGGCGCGAAAGCGUGGGAGCAAACA
rnacentral:rRNA from 1 species